AUACUUACAGACAAAGGAUUUUCUUAACUUUAACAUUGUGGUAAUAAAGCGAAUUCGUAAAUGAAACAUAAUUUAUAAAUGAAAAAUGAUAUUGCUCAUUUUAUUCUUUUUUAUUCGCGUACUUUUCGCGCCACACCUUAUAGAUGAAAAAAUAAAUUGCGGGAAGUUGCGAUAAUAUUUUCGUAAUACAGUUAAAUAGACGAAAGAUCGAUAAUCAACUGAGAUAAUAAUGCUAUUAAUAAUUGAAUUAGCAUGUGUUUCGAAUGAUAUUAAGCAUUAAAAUUCUUCAAAAUAGAAUGUAUUUGCAUUUUUCUUAUAUACAUGUUCAUUAUGAAUUCAUAUUGGUCAAUUCACUAUCACAUAGUUUAAAUUUCAUUCAAAAUGAAACUCAAAAUCCGAAAAACUUCAGAAGCAUGAUACAUGCGUACUUCUAUAAAUAGUAGCUUGUUUAAAUAGUGAAAGUAAAAACACUGAUUCUUCUAAUAGCAAAAUCAAUUAGUACAUACAUUGGAAAAAACAAUCGAGGAUUUAUCCAAGGAUUGUGGAUAAUAAAUGCAAAAUAAAAAUAUCACGAUGUUACAUGAGCAACGCGCGGCCACUGACUGACAGAGAAGAGGUUUCGAUUGGCGGGCCCAUUGACACGCGCGACUUCUCAAACCCGCGAAAUCGAGCUGAACCAAUCAGAAUGCUUUCUACCGCCUCCGCGACCCAGUGAUCCGGAUACAGUGCUGUAAAAUAAAGAUUUCUGGCACGGAUUUUCCGUCACUGAAAGUAUAGCCACCGUUAGCCGCUUCCACCACCUCCCUUUAACCUAUUGAUCGACCCCCAAGUGAACAAGAAAACGCAAGACCAGAUGCGCCAUAACAUCAGU